AGCAUAGCGAUUUGGGAUAAGUCCCUUGGAAGAGGGCAGCAUGGAGGGUGAUACUCCCGUCUCUGCUCAGGUUGUCUGUGUGUACGAUACGCUUUCUUUGAGUCGAGUUGUUUGGGAAUACAGCUCAAAGUAGGUGGUAAAUUCCAUCUAAAGCUAAAUAUUGGUGCGAGACCGAUAGCGAACAAGUACCGUGAGGGAAAGAUGAAAAGGACUUUGAAAAGAGAGUUAAAGAGUACCUGAAACUGUUGAAAGGGAACCGUAUCGUUUCUAGUGUUUAUCCUAUGCAUAUUUCAUUGACGGUUGCAAAAUUGCUGGUGCCCUGUGCAUGGGUGUGACGUCAGAGUCAGUUUAAAUUGCGGGAGAUGGGUAGGGAGGAGGUGCGUCACUUCGGUGAAAGUUACAGCUCUCUGCCUAGUAGCCGUGGUUGAGACUGAGGUGCC
rnacentral:rRNA from 2 species